CUUGUAUAACUUUUACUCUUUUUCAGUUUUCUUUAAAGUAAUUGACUAUCAUAUUCUUUUUUUAAUUAAGAAGAUUUUUAUUCCAGAAAUUCAAAGGUGGCUUACAAAACCCCAAAACACCUAUUCAAGAUCUUUGUAUAGCCAGGCACAGUUUAAAGUCAGAUCUAGCCUUGGGGUUUAAAUAUGGUGCCGCGUCGUGCACAACUUUCACAUGAUGUCAAAAAAGAAAACGUGUAAGCCCGCAUUGUCCUCUUUAUUCAGCUUCUUAAUAUCCAAAUGGGAUAACUUGCAUUUAUUUCUGGUUCCUAAGGAAAACAAAGCAGAACAGAGUUCUAGAUCCCAGAUCCUUCCAGAGUAGCCCCGGCUGUCCUAACGACUUACAUUCAGAUUUUUAUGUGGUAAGGAAAUGCCUAGCUUGCUCAAGCCUCCCCACAGCCUGAACACCAGCUUCCCACUGCCUCAUUCAUGACUUACUUUCUUAUGGUAACAAAUAAGCAAACAACUUUGCUUCUUUUGUUCCUUUGAUUUUUGUGAGCCGUGAUUUUUUGACAUCUCUUCCCAGAAAAAAAGAAAAGAACAAUUUUACAGAUACAUUGGGUCUUUUUCCCUUUGUGGGAGACAGGGCUAGUAAAUCAUUUGUUUAUUCAUUCUUUUACAAAUGGAAAUCUUGAAAUUAAGCUUUGCAAUGUAAGUGGAUAUGAUUUAUCCACCUCCAGGCACGGUGACGCAUAUCCAUACACCACUACUUGGGAUGCUGAGGCAGAAGUGAGUUGGGGACACCUUGGACUGCAAAGACCACCUGCCUCUCUUGGGGUGGAGCCACCCAUGGUGGACAGAGUUCUCCUACAUCAACCAUUAAUCAAGAAAAUCCCCUGCCCGACGGGCUUGCCUACCGGCCAAUGUGAAAGAGGCAAUUCCUCAGUUGAGAGUCCCUCUUCCCAGGAACCAUCAGGUAUCGGGCUUCAGGAAAGCAGAUCUCCCAGAUAAACUGGUUGCUUCUCAUAAAUAGUGUCCAAUAACACUGCAAGGAGGAAGAGCCUAAUUACCCUAGGAUAGCCCACUUUGCCAACAAUGGAGGUAUUAUGCUGCUGUGGAGAGGACAAGUAGAAAAGUUUCUUCCAGGUAAUUGCAGAUUUAGGGUGAUGGAGGAAGGCUUGUAUCAUCAGGGAGAAUUUAACAAGCUUUAACAUGGGAAGUUUCUGCAAUUUUAGCCGAUUAUACUUAUGAUUCUAUAUUUGCCCAUUAAUUUGUUUUGAACCGAAUUAACGAA
rnacentral:lncRNA from 1 species